AGAGUUUGAUCAUGGCUCAGGAUGAACACUGGCGGCGUGCCUAAUACAUGCAAGUCGAGCGGAGAGAUCGCAAGGUCUCUUAGCGGCGAACGGGUGAGUAACGCGUUGGUGACCUACCCCGAAGUGUGGGAUAGCAGUUCGAAAGGACUGAUAAUACCACAUGAGCUCUGAGGAGUUAGAGGACUUCAGAGGAAAGGCGAAAUUCGCUUCGGGAGGGGCCUGCGUCCCAUCAGCUAGUUGGUAGGGUAACGGCCUACCAAGGCGAUGACGGGUAGGGGACCUGAGAGGGUGGCCCCCCACAAUGGAACUGAAACACGGUCCAUACACCUACGGGUGGCAGCAGUAGGGAAUAUUGCAUAAUGGGCGCAAGCCUGAUGCAGCAACGCCGCGUGUGCGAUGAAGGCCUUCGGGUCGUAAAGCACUUUUUGGGAGGAUGAGGAAGGACAGUACUCCCAGAAUAAGCCUCGGCUAACUACGUGCCAGCAGCCGCGGUAAAACGUAGGAGGCGAGCGUUAUCCGGAUUUACUGGGUGUAAAGCGUGUGCAGGCGGUACGGUAAGUUGGAUGUGAAAGCUCCUGGCUUAACUGGGAGAGGUCGUUCAAAACUACCGAACUUGAGUAUGGGAGAGGGAGGCGGAAUUCCGGGUGUAGUGGUGAAAUGCGUAGAUAUCCGGAGGAACACCAGUGGCGAAAGCGGCCUCCUGGCCCAAAACUGACGCUCAGACACGAAAGCUAGGGGAGCGAACGGGAUUAGAGACCCCGGUAGUCCUAGCUGUAAACGAUGUGAACUUGGCGUCGGCGGGUUUAAAUCCGUCGGUGCCGAAGGCUAACGCGAUAAGUUCACCACCCUGGGGACUAGCGGCCGCAAGGUUAAAACUCAAAUGAAUUGAGCG
rnacentral:rRNA from 1 species